AACCUGGUUAGGUGGUCUGCCUUACGGUACGUACUGCUCGGCCGGGUUCUACCUCUUGGUGAGCCGGCAUGUCCUUCACUGGGUGUGUCGGGGAACCAGGACUUUUACCUUGAGAAAAUUAGAGUGUUUAAAGCAAGUGAAUAACAGCCUGAAUACAUUAGCAUGGAAUAAUAGAAUAGG
rnacentral:rRNA from 1 species